rnacentral:rRNA from 1 species
UGAACGCUGGCGGCGUGCCUAACACAUGCAAGUCGAGCGGAGAUAAGUUGAAGCCUAGCGAUCUUAUCUUAGCGGCGGAUGGGUGAGUAACACGUGGGUAACCUGCCCUGCACUGGGGAAUAACAGCUGGAAACGGCUGUUAAUGCCGCAUAUGCGCACGGAGCCGCAUGGCUUUGGGCGGAAAGAUUUAUCGGUGCAGGAUGGGCCCGCGCCGGAUUAACUAGUUGGCGGGGUAACGGCCCACCAAGGUGAUGAUCCGUAGCCGACCUGAGAGGGUGACCGGCCACAUUGGGACUGAGACACGGCCCAAACUCCUACGGGAGGCAGCAGUGGGGGAUAUUGCACAAUGGGGGAAACCUUGAAUGCAGCGACGCCGCGUGAAGGAUGAAGUAUUUCGGUAUGUAAACUUCUAUCAGCGGGGAAGAAGAUGACGGUACCCGACUAAGAAGCCCCGGCUAACUACGUGCCAGCAGCCGC